CUCAAGGCUUUCAAAGCAACUAACAUACGGACAUAUAGCUGUUGUGGACAUAUAUAUAACAGAGAUUUUCCAAACAGUUUCAAAACCAUUAUUUGAAACCAUAUUACAAGGAUACAUGGCAAGAAUAAUGUUCACACGCCUCAAAUGUUUGCCAUGACGAACAAAAAACCUUAAAACCAGUUGGAAAAGCUUGACAAUAGUAGUACCUAUUACCCAAUCACCAAACACAUCAAAAAAGGACAAAUGCUUUGUUAGACGUGCAUAAUUGGUAUUUCAGCUUCACUUGGCAGCUGACGCAGCCAAAAUAGAAAAGAUCAGCUCCAAACAGACAUGUCAGGAGUUUCCACAGGCCUUCAACGAACGAACAUAGAGUAAACGUUUAUGGAUCAGUCGUUCUAUAAUGAGUUCUUUGGUACGUCAUGAUGGUGUUGCUGCACUAAUCUUUGGUGACUAAUAAGAAGAGUGAUAUUAGAGUGACUAACCAAACUUGCUGGGCCAUGCUUAUAUCUCCUCUUCGAUCAUUCCCAGUCCCACUUUCACAAGUAUUUGAAUGAAAGAUUAAGAGGGACUAAGAGAAGAACUUGAGUCUGCAAAAGUUGAAUGCUCUUUUGCGUCGAAUAAUGACACGACCGUGCUGGUUUCUGUCGCAGAUGACUUUUCGCGGAGGUCAUCAAGUGGACUGGUGAUGUAGUUACCUGUCCAAACUCCAUUUGCAUACACCAUAACUAAUACUUUGUCAAAAUCAAGAAGAUCCUGUUUGGCCUUUACUCUUAUGGAUCCACCUGGCUUUAUCCUGAUAAUUUUCUCAAAUUUGUCAGGUCUAGCAGGCUGAACCCAUAUCCUCAGCUCUAUGCUGUAGUAAGUCCUGUUUUCUAGUAUACUAAGCUUACCGCCCAUUUUCUAUGCAACCCACAACUUGAAACUAACUAGAAUUUGAAAAGAUUAAAGACUAGCAGUGCUCGUGUGCUGGUGUAUGAACUGAACUCUAAGAGGUAGAAAGACUGGAAUAGUGCUCGUGUGAUGGUGUUAGCAAAAACUAUUUGCUCGUAAUAUCCUUAGGUCUAAAAUGUGAGGAAAGUGGACGCCUUCGAUGCCUAUUGUACUACUAAUUUAUAGAGGAAAUUUGUCCACUGCUUCUCAACUCAAUAAGUGAGAAAUUGAACCAAAUAAAUUAAGGGCCUUUCUUUGGGUUUGCAUUAACUGAUUGUGGUGGAAUGUGACUAUAAAGAAGAAUCAGAAUAUGAUAAAAUUAUACUUGGUUAGAUUCUAGAUAUUAACGUUUUUGUCUACUAAAAUCUAAAAUUUAGGUGCUAAAGCAAGCUAGACUCUAUUAUACUUGGUUAGACUCUAAAAUUUCUGUCGCAGAUGACUUUUCGCAGAGGCCAUCAAGUGGAGUGGAAAGAUGCAGUUACCUGUCCCAACUCCAUUUGCAUGCACCAUUACUAAUACUUUGUCAAAAUAAAGAAGACCCUCCUGUUUGGCCUUUGCUCUUAUGGUUCCACCUGGCUUUACCCUGAUAAUCUUCUCAAAUUUGUCAGGUCUAGCAGGCUGAACCCACAUCCUGAGUUCUAUGCUGUAGUAAGUCCUGUUUUCUAGUAUACUAAGCUUACCGCCCAUUUUUUAUGCAACCCACAACCUGAAACUAGCUAGAAUUUGCAAAGACAAAGGCACAUAAAGAACAAACAAUCAGAUUAAAGACUAGCAGUGCUCGUGUGCUGGUGUAUGCGCUGAACUCUGAGAGGGAGAAAGAUCAGAAUAGUGCUCGUGUGAUGGUGUUAGCAAAAUCCAUAUAUGCUUGUAAUACCUCUUUGUCUAAAAUGUG
rnacentral:lncRNA from 1 species